GUCUUCCUCACAGUUCAGCUCUCUACUGACCUCUUUCUUCUUUUCUGUCUCUCUACUGACCCCUCUUCAUGACUAUCUCUACCGACCCCUCUUCAUGAUUGGCUUUCAUUUACUGCUGACCCCAAUUCCUUUCUCCCUCUCUUCACCUCCCUACUGACCCCACUCCCUUAAUACUGACCCCACUCACCUAAUACUCAUUGGUGCCUGUCUCCUCAUUACCUUUCUUUCUCUUACUAUUCCUCUUUCUGUUUAAAUCUCUAUUUACUCCUCUUCCUCCCUUUCUUAACCUGACCCUCCGACCCCUUACUAGGACCUUUUACUCCCCUCCAUUGCUCUGUCAUCACUUUUAUUUUGAUCCCUCUUCCUCACUAUGGCCAUUUCACUGCUCACCUCCUGUUUGCUAUCACAAUAUCUAUAAGGACCCCUCUACCUGAUACUGACCUUUUGUUUCACCUCUCUUGUGGUCCUUCUUCUUCUUUAUGCCCCGUAGUUGACUUGUCUAUUGACCUCUCUGUCUACUAGCCAUUCUUUCCUAUUGAGCUAUUUUUCAAUCUGUGCUCUCCUGUUGACUGGACCCUUCUCCUUUCAAUCUUUGAUUCUUUCCUGACCUCCUUCCUCUUUGAUGACCUCAACGCUGACCCCCUCUCCCUCCUUACAAUACUGUUAUGUAUCCCUGCAUUAAAUCCAAAUGACUCCUAACUUCUCUCUGCCCACCAAUUCCCUGUGCCUUUCUCCCCUCACUCUGUUUAAUUCCCCCUCUUCCGUGAGACUUACCUCCCCAGCCCUCAGCUUUCACUCUGUCUAAUUUGCAGUGCCCCCAGUAGGGCAGUAUAUGAGGGCAGCCUGGCUGAGGUUAGUGCCCCCCGAACCCCAGGAGAGCAGGUUCAUUAGAGACAAGCUCUUGUCUCUUAUACGGGUGAAAUGAAGAGAUCUCAUCAGACCGACGGACU